GGAAGUCUGACUUGCCUUUCAUGUCAGAAGAUGACUUCAUCUUUUGGAAACAACACCCUCUGUGGUACCUCAGUGGGAUCGUUAGUGCUAUGAAGACUGAAGCCCAUGUGAACAUUUGAGUACAGAUCUUUCAACAGACCUAUGUUUGCAUUUCCUUAGAAUAAGUACUCAGAAGUGGGAAUGCUGGGCCAGCGGUAAAGUAAAAGGAAGUUUGCUGAAGUGCAGAACCAAGAUGGCGUAGAAAGACCCUGAGCUCAUCUCCUCUCAUGGGCGCACCAAAACCACAACUAUCUGCAGAACAACCGUUGAUGAAAAAGACUGAAACCUACCAGAAAAGAUCUUCUACAACUAAAGACAUAAAGAAGGAACCGCAAUGAGAUGGGCGGGGGCACUCGCCAUAUAAUCAAAUCAAGUCCCAUACCUCCAGGUGGGUGACCCACAACAAAUAAUUACAGUGCAGAGGUUCUCCCUGUACUUAGGAGUGAGAGUUCUGGCCCCCAUGUUGGUCUCCCUCAGCCUGGGGGUCCUGCCGCGGGGAAAAAAAGGCGGGAGAAGCCCCGGCAGGAUUGAAGCUGCUCCUUUGAAUUUGCAAUUCAACAUGAUCAUUCACUACAAGGCUUGGUAAAAAGAGGACUUAACCCCUGUCUUUAGAUUUACAGUCUAAUGCCUACUCGGCCAUCUUACCUAUGUUCAUAAACCGCUGAUUAUUCUCAACCAACCAUAAGGACAUCGGCACUCUAUAUCUACUAUUCGGUGCCUGAGCGGGAAUGGUGGGCACUGGCCUAAGCUUGCUAAUCCGCACCGAGUUAGGCCAACCCGGUACAUUAAUUGGGGAUGACCAAGUCUACAACGUGCUGGUAACAGCUCACGCCUUUGUGAUAAUUUUCUUCAUAGUCAUACCCAUCAUAAUUGGCGGUUUCGGAAACUGAUUAGUUCCUCUAAUAAUCGGAGCACCUGACAUAGCCUUUCCUCGUAUAAAUAACAUGAGCUUCUGACUACUCCCCCCUUCAUUCCUACUACUAAUAGCUUCUUCAAUAGUCGAAGCCGGCGCAGGUACAGGCUGGACUGUUUACCCCCCUCUAGCCGGAAAUUUAGCACAUGCAGGAGCAUCCGUAGACCUUACCAUCUUUUCCCUACACCUAGCUGGUGUCUCCUCAAUCCUUGGAGCCAUCAACUUUAUUACAACCAUUAUCAACAUAAAA